rnacentral:rRNA from 1 species
UAGCAAUAUCACUGGCGGACGGGUGAGUAACACGUAGGUGAUCUGCCCCUAUCACAGACAUAACGUCGGGAAACCGGCGCUAAUAUCUGAUGAGGUCGAGAGAUCAAAGCCUUUGGGCGGAUAGGGAUGAGCCUGCGUCUGAUUAGCUAGUUGGUGAGGUAACGGCUCACCAAGGCCACGAUCAGUAGCUGGUCUGAGAGGACGAACAGCCACACUGGAACUGAGACACGGUCCAGACUCCUACGGGAGGCAGCAGUGAGGAAUAUUGGUCAAUGGGAGCAAUCCUGAACCAGCAAUGCCGCGUGUGGGAUGACGGGGCUCAGCCCUGUAAACCACUGUCGGACGGGACGAAAGGAGCCUUCAGGGCUCUGGGACGGUACCGUCAAAGGAAGGGUCGGCUAACUACGUGCCAGCAGCCGCGGUAAUACGUAGGACCCGAGCGUUGUCCGGAAUUACUGGGUAUAAAGGGUGCGCAGGCGGCCGUGUGCGUCAGAGGUGAAAUCUCCGGGCUUAACCCGGAGGGUGCCUUUGAUACGGCAUGGCUUGAGUCCGAGAGAGGGUGAUGGAAUUCCUGGUGUAGCAGUGAAAUGCGUAGAUAUCAGGAAGAAACACUGCAGCGAAGGCGGCGCUCUGGGCUGGAACUGAC